UGCCAGCCUCCUCGGUAAUACGUAUGUCUCGAGCGUUACCCGGAAUCACUGGGUGUAAAGGGUUCGUAGGCGGUUUAAUAAGUUGGAUAUGAAAGACCGGAGCUCAACUUCGUGUUUGUGUUCAAAACUGUUAAACUAGAAUCAGGGAGAGGUAAGUAGAAUUCUAAGUGUAGGGGUGCAAUCCGUAGAUACUUAGAGGAAUACCAAAAGCGAAGGCAACUUACUGGAACUGUAUUGACGCUGAGGAACGAAAGCGUGGGUAGCGAAAAGGAUUAGAUA
rnacentral:rRNA from 1 species